GCCAUUUUCCACAACGCACGGUUUGUAAUGUGGGGACAACCACUUUUGUAUACCGUGAAUCCCGAUUAUGACCAUAAACUUACGUUUCAAUUUAAGUUCGGGCGGGACAGCUCCUGCCCAUAUUGCGCAUAUGCCCAUGCUAGCCUGUAGAAAUCCAAGACGAAUAUGGCGUGAUACCCAUCUUAUCACGACGAUGCUCAUUUACUCACGAGAGCAAUCGGAGUCAGAUGAAAGUGGCCAACUCCGCAUGUACAUAUCCGCCCAACAAUACGGUGAACAUGUCGCUGUAUGUUACUGUUAAUACGAUAAGUCAACAGCUGACCAUGUUUUAAGACUUCAAAGUAUCGUUCUUCAAGACCACAUGGUUGGUUAGUUUGGUACUUUUGGCGCAAAACGCACGACUGUGCCUUUACUGAUCUAUGUGCAACUUGAAUUUAUGAAGAUAUUAAAUGAGAAUACUU